ACUGCUCAGUAACACGUGGCUAAUCUGCCCUUAGGACGAGAACAACCCCGGGAAACUGGGGCUAAUUCUUGAUCGGCGAAGAACUCUGGAAUGAGUCUUUACCAAAAUAGAUUCACGUUAUCCUCGUGAAUCCGCCUAAGGAUGAGGCCGCGACCGAUCAGGUUGUUGGCGAGGUAAUGGCUCACCAAGCCUUUUACCGGUGCGGGCCGUGGGAGCGGGAGCCCGGAGAUGGGUACUGAGACAAGGACCCAGGCCCUACGGGGCGCAGCAGUCGCGAAACCUUUGCAAUACACGAAAGUGUGACAGGGCUAUCCCGAGUGCCAUCCGCUGAGGAAGGCUUUUACCCAGUCUAGAACGCUGGGGGAAUAAGGAGAGGGCAAGUCUGGUGUCAGCCGCCGCGGUAAUACCAGCUCUCCGAGUGGUGUGGAUGUUUAUUGGGCCUAAAGCAUCCGUAGCUGGCUAGGUAAGUCCCUUGUUAAAUCCACCGAAUUAAUCGUUGGAUUGCGGGGGAUACUGCUUGGCUAGGGGACGAGAGAGGCAGACGGUAUUCUCGGGGUAGGGGUGAAAUCCUAUAAUCCCGGGAAGACCACCAGUGGCGAAGGCUGUCUGCUAGAACGCGCCCGACGGUGAGGGAUGAAAGCUGGGGGAGCGAACCGGAUUAGAUACCCGGGCAGUCCCAGCUGUAAACGAUGCAGGCUAGGUGUUUGGACGGCCACGUGCCGUUCUAGUGCCGCAGGGAAGCUGUUAAGCCUGCCGCCUGGGGAGUACGAUCGCAAGAUUGAAACUUAAAGGAAUUGGCGGGGGAGCAC
rnacentral:rRNA from 1 species